rnacentral:rRNA from 1 species
GUAGGUGGCAAGCGUUGUCCGGAAUUAUUGGGCGUAAAGCGCGCGCAGGUGGUUCUUUAAGUCUGAUGUGAAAGCCCCCGGCUCAACCGGGGAGGGUCAUUGGAGACUGGGGAACUUGAGUGCAGGAGAGGAAAGUGGAAUUCCACGUGUAGCGGUGAAAUGCGUAGAUAUGUGGAGGAACACCAGUGGCGAAGGCGACUUUCUGGCCUGUAACUGACACUGAGGCGCGGAAGCGUGGGGAGCAAACAGGGAUUAGAUACCCUGGUAGUCCACGCCGUAAACGAUGAGUGCUAAGUGUUGGGGGGGGUUUCCGCCCCCGUCAGUGCUGCAGCUAACGCAUUAAGCACUCCGCCUGGGAGUACGGUCGCAAGACUG